rnacentral:rRNA from 1 species
UGACCAGACUCCUACGGGAGGCAGCAGUGGGGGAUAUUGCACAAUGGGGGGAACCCUGAUGCAGCGACGCCGCGUGGGUGAAGGAGUAUUUCGGUAUGUAAAGCCCUAUCGGCAGGGAAGAAGCAAGACGGUACCUUACUAAGAAGCCCCGGCUAACUACGUGCCAGCAGCCGCGGUAAUACGUAGGGGGCGAGCGUUAUCCGGAUUCACUGGGUGUAAAGGGAGCGUAGACGGCCAAGCAAGCCAGGGGUGAAAGGCCGGGGCCCAACCCCGGGACUGCUCUUGGAACUGCGCGGCUGGAGUGCAGGAGGGGCAGGCGGAAUUCCUGGUGUAGCGGUGAAAUGCGUAGAUAUCAGGAGGAACACCGGUGGCGAAGGCGGCCUGCUGGACUGCGACUGACGUUGAGGCCCGAAAGCGUGGGGAGCAAACAGGAUUAGAUACCCGGGUAGUA